rnacentral:tRNA from 1 species
GCUCGCUUAGUUUAGUUGGUCAAAAACAUCUGGCUUACAUCCAGAAGAUCGGGGUUUCGAAUACCUCAGCGAGUACUA